GCCUUUCUGAAAUAUCUCGAGGUGGUGUUUUCCUUGUACUGAUGACUCCAUGGUAAUAUGGAAGUGCCUUCCCAAAGGCCAAUUAGCUGCUUCUCCAUGAAGAUAAGGACCACCCUCUCCGUGGAACCAAGGAAAGGCAUUUGCUCUCAGCCCGGGCAGCACUUACGCAUCACUCUGUUCUACCUGUCUCAUCACUGGGUGGGCAGCCUGGGCCAGCAUGACUCCAACUAGGUGUACAUUUACCUGGGGGACCUGAAGACUUUCCCCAUGAUACUCAGGAAAGAGAAGAUAUUAAAUUGUUUCAGAGACGGAUGGUCUGGCGUCGUCUUUGUUUUGGCUCAGAGUAAGACACAGCCAGUGAGUUCCCGCCUGAGGUGAUGUAUGUGAGUGUCACGCAGGGCAUAUGUCCAUACUUAAGCCAUGAUCACCCUUCCCUUAAAGAUCCUCUUAGUUGCUACAGCUAAAGCUACGCCCCCAAAUGCUGUCAGGCUACAGUUUUAGU